rnacentral:rRNA from 1 species
UUUUCAGAGAUGAGAAUGUGCCUUCGGGAACCGUGAGACAGGUGCUGCAUGGCUGUCGUCAGCUCGUGUUGUGAAAUGUUGGGUUAAGUCCCGCAACGAGCGCAACCCUUAUCCUUUGUUGCCAGCGGUCCGGCCGGGAACUCAAAGGAGACUGCCAGUGAUAAACUGGAGGAAGGUGGGGAUGACGUCAAGUCAUCAUGGCCCUUACGACCAGGGCUACACACGUGCUACAAUGGCGCAUACAAAGAGAAGCGACCUCGCGAGAGCAAGCGGACCUCAUAAAGUGCGUCGUAGUCCGGAUUGGAGUCUGCAACUCGACUCCAUGAAGUCGGAAUCGCUAGUAAUCGUGGAUCAGAAUGCCACGGUGAAUACGUUCCCGGGCCUUGUACACACCGCCCGUCACACCAUGGGAGUGGGUUGCAAAAGAAGUAGGUAGCUUAACCUUCGGGAGGGCGCUUACCACUUUGUGAUUCAUGACUGGGGUGAAGUCGUAACAAGGUAACCGUAGGGGAACCUGCGGUUGGAUC